CCCCUCCCAGAAUCACACCUGGAGAGUUUCCAGUACUCUACCAGUCUUGGCUAUGGGCGGGAGAGUCAAGCAGAGGCAUAUCCAUUACAUUCCUAGCUUGGACAGUGGCUAGUGAGUGGAAGACAAUCUCCCACAAGU